rnacentral:rRNA from 1 species
GAUGAACGCUGGCGGCGUGCCUAAUACAUGCAGGUCGAGCGAACAGACGAGGAGCUUGCUCCUCUGACGUUAGCGGCGGACGGGUGAGUAACACGUGGAUAACCUACCUAUAAGACUGGGAUAACUUCGGGAAACCGGAGCUAAUACCGGAUAAUAUAUUGAACCGCAUGGUUCAAUAGUGAAAGACGGUUUUGCUGUCACUUAUAGAUGGAUCCGCGCCGCAUUAGCUAGUUGGUAAGGUAACGGCUUACCAAGGCAACGAUGCGUAGCCGACCUGAGAGGGUGAUCGGCCACACUGGAACUGAGACACGGUCCAGACUCCUACGGGAGGCAGCAGUAGGGAAUCUUCCGCAAUGGGCGAAAGCCUGACGGAGCAACGCCGCGUGAAUGAUGAAGGUCUUCGGAUCGUAAAACUCUGUUAUUAGGGAAGAACAAAUGUGUAAGUAACUAUGCACGUCUUGACGGUACCUAAUCAGAAAGCCACGGCUAACUACGUG